CCCUACACCUAGUGUCUGUCCCUGAACAAAAUGGCUACUUAUUGGUGCAGUUACUCUCUCUUUGUUUCUAUUCUUUUUCUUUCCUUUUCCUUCCUUUCUUUCUUUCCUUUUCCUUCUUUUCUUUCUUUCCCCCUUUUAUUCCUUCCCUUUUUUCUUUCUGCCAGCAUAAAAAAAUUUUCUGGGACAAAUAUUAAUGGUCCCGUGGUCCGCUAUAUUUUCCACCCCUGGUAUACAUGUAUACAUGUGUGGAAACACGACGCGCGCGAGUGUUUUCACAGGGAGCCCGAAUGGCGAGUGUUUUCACAGAGAGGCCAUCCCGGG